rnacentral:rRNA from 1 species
GACGAACGCUGGCGGCGUGCCUAACACAUGCAAGUCGAACGGGGUGAACCUUCGGGUUCACUUAGUGGCGAACGGGUGAGUAACGCGUGAGGAACCUGCCUUUCAGUGGGGGACAACAGUUGGAAACGACUGCUAAUACCGCAUAACAUUCACGGACCGCAUGAUCUGUGAAUCAAAGCUUUAUGUGCUGAAAGAUGGCCUCGCGUCUGAUUAGCUAGUUGGUGAGGUAACGGCUCACCAAGUCGACGAUCAGUAGCCGAACUGAGAGGUUGAUCGGCCACAUUGGGACUGAGACACGGCCCAAACUCCUACGGGAGGCAGCAGUGGGGAAUAUUGCACAAUGGGGGAAACCCUGAUGCAGCGACGCCGCGUGAGUGAAGAAGUAUUUCGGUAUGUAAAGUUCUAUCAGCAGGGAAGAUAAUGACGGUACCUGACUAAGAAGCACCGGCUAAAUACGUGCCAGCAGCCG